UACACCUUAAAGUUCAUAAGAUAGGAAGAAAAGAGAAUUUUUUUGAGGUCCCUAGACUCAUUUGCCUAGCAUUGAAUAGAUUAAGUAUUCACCUUAUCAAUAUCUCAAAUCCAUUAUGGAUUUUAUUUGACGUCUAAAUCCUAUGUCAGGCUAUUGUUCUCUUAUUUUAUUCCUGGAGUAAGACAUGGAUUUCUUAACAAGAUCAACUCUUUUACUUACAUGAUGGACUCCUAUGAAAAAAAACAUUGGCGCGUGUGUAAACGAGGUGCUCUA
rnacentral:lncRNA from 1 species